rnacentral:lncRNA from 1 species
AUCUAGAGGCGUGUUUACAAUCAGCUAUGCCUUUUUACAAUGUAAUUCUAUUCUGAAGACAGAGAACAGCACACACACGGUGGCUGAGGAAGCUGACAUAAUACAAGAUGUACUGGAUCCAGUGCAGUUGGUCACAGAAAACAAAAUGACUUUCUAAACAUCAAGGUAAAAAUUGUGUUCUUAAAGCUUGAACAUGAUUCCAUGGCUUAUGUUUUCAGACAGAGCUCACUGGAAUUCUACAAAAUAAUGCACCAGCAAUGGGGGUGACUUCCCUUCUUUCCACUGGAUGACUAAUAACUUAAGAAGGAACUUCCAUGGAUAAAAAAGGGAAGAAGGGUAUUUAUCUGAAGAAGGCAUUGUGAUCUCUGAUGUACUUUUGUUUGAUCACUUAUCAAACAGACAUUUGUCCAGGUCCAAGUGGGAGAAGUAGUAUACAUACAGAAAAGAUAAGCUACUUUCUUUAAGGACAUUCAAUACAAAGAGUAAUUCUCCAAGCUGCUCAAUGUUCAUUAGUAUUUCGGUGCCGUUCCAGCUCACAAUACAAACAAGAAAAUAUUUUCACUGUUCAAGGGAGAAAUGAGAAAAAACUGAAUAAUGGAAGUCAGUAACAUCAAGGCUAUCUUCCAAGCACAGAACAGCUUUAGAGACCUGACUCGCUGUCACAAUUUUAUGACUAUGGACUGACAAAAUAUGUACCGGCUGGGAAAAGUCUUUUUUCCAGAGAACUUCAUGGAUGUCCCAGAGAAAGGUGUGAGAGACAGACAGAUGAUCUACACAGGAGUGGACUGGCUAACAAAACGGAGGUCCAUCCAUGAAAGGGAAGAGCAGGGAGGAUUUAUUCCUGGAGUUGCACAGAGAAAUGAAUAAGGAUUUGGACUGAAGGUGUAUUAUCAGUACUUGGAGCUGAACACUCUACUACCUGCUACCCUCCUCUGGGAGAGCAUCUGCAGGAGAACAGAUUCCAAAAGCAGGAUAAAUAUGGGAGCUGCUGGAGAAGAAACAUUGUCUUAUGUUUCAGCAUACCAAAUGAAGGGAAAAAUUGGUCUUGCUUACUUCUAUUCAAGAUGUUUUAUGUCUGUUAUCUUCGUGCUAAAAAAUGUCCACAUGCCUUUCCAAUCUUGCACAAACUAAUCUUCCUUCUUCUCUAUACUGCCAUGAAUUAAAAGGCUGGUAAGCUAG